CCUUAUCUACAGGCAUCAAGUCAAGUAGCACCACGAAACCAAACAUCACUAUAAUGAUUGCUCAGACCGCCGUCGUGCUGGCACUGGUGGCCGUGGCUGUAGCUGCCCCCUCCCAGCCCUCCUACGGCUACACCCCCGCACCCGCCUACGAGGAGCCAGCCAAGUACGACUUCAACUACGCCGUGAAGGACGACUACUCUGGCAACGACUUCGGCCACCAGGAGUCCCGUGACGGCUAUGACAUCCAGGGCUCCUACUACGU